UUGCAGCAAUGCAAGGCAGACGGCUCAGUAACGCGUAGUCAACCUAACCUAUGGACGGGAAUAACCUCGGGAAACUGAGAAUAAUGCCCGAUAGAACACUAUACCUGGAAUGGUUUGUGUUCCAAAUGAUUUAUCGCCGUAGGAUGGGACUGCGGCCUAUCAGUUUGUUGGUGAGGUAAUGGCCCACCAAGACUAUUACAGGUACGGGCUCUGAGAGGAGUAGCCCGGAGAUGGGUACUGAGACACGGACCCAGGCCCUAUGGGGCGCAGCAGGCGAGAAAACUUUGCAAUGUGCGAAAGCACGACAAGGUUAAUCCGAGUGGUUUCUGCUAAAGAAACCUUUUGCUAGUCCUAGAACCACUAACGAAUAAGGGGUGGGCAAGUUCUGGUGUCAGCCGCCGCGGUAAAACCAGCACCUCAAGUGGUCAGGAUGAUUAUUGGGCCUAAAGCAUCCGUAGCCGGCUCUGUAAGUUUUCGGUUAAAUCUGUACGCUCAACGUACAGGCUGCCGGGAAUACUGCAGAGCUAGGGAGUGGGAGAGGUAGACGGUACUCGGGAGGAAGUGGUAAAAUGCUUUGAUCUCUCGAUGACCACCUGUGGCGAAGGCGGUCUACCAGAACACGUCCGACGGUGAGGGAUGAAAGCUGGGGGAGCAAACCGGAUUAGAUACCCGGG
rnacentral:rRNA from 1 species